UCUCCAGUCCUCCUCUGCUCACACAGUGUCUAAGUUGACGUAGUCCCAGGGUUUUCACAAUCUAUUCAAGACUUGUGGUUACGUCAGCUUUGCCAUUGUUGGGCACUGCUUCUUCCCCUGCUU
rnacentral:precursor_RNA from 8 species